rnacentral:rRNA from 1 species
AUGUUUGCGUGUAUGAUUAGUGUACGAUUGAAUCGGGGGCGUCACACACAUGAUGUGAAGAACAAAAAGAAAAGACAGAGAAGCAAAGGUAGAAAGGUAUCCCUCCCAAAUGAUGUUGCUACUAUUACCCAUUGUGAUGAUGAUAAUUGCUAUACAAUUGGUGCUAUCCAUACUAUUAAUAAUGAGAGUAAUUAUGCUUAUGCUAUGAAAAGGCCCAAGCUUGGGGAUGCUAUGUUUGAUGAGAAUGACAAGUUUGAGAAUAUAUUUGCUGCAAUUAAUGUUUGUCCCAAGCUUGGGGAUGCUAUGUUUAAUGAAGAUGAUAUUUUUAGCCUCCCAAGUUUUGAUGAGCAAAUUUAA